rnacentral:rRNA from 1 species
GGCAGCUCAAGUGGUGGCCAUUAUUAUUGGGCCUAAAGCGUUCGUAGCCGGUUUGAUAAGUCUCUGGUGAAAUCCCGCAGCUUAACUGUGGGACUUGCUGGAGAUACUAUCAGACUUGAGGUCGGGAGAGGUUAGGGGUACUCCCAGGGUAGGGGUGAAAUCCUAUAAUCCUGGGAGGACCACCUGUGGCGAAGGCGCCUAACUGGAACGAACCUGACGGUGAGUAACGAAAGCCAGGGGCGCGAACC